rnacentral:rRNA from 1 species
AAAUUGAAGAGUUUGAUCAUGGCUCAGAUUGAACGCUGGCGGCAGGCCUAACACAUGCAAGUCGAACGGUAACAGGAAGCAGCUUGCUGCUUCGCUGACGAGUGGCGGACGGGUGAGUAAUGUCUGGGAAACUGCCUGAUGGAGGGGGAUAACUACUGGAAACGGUAGCUAAUACCGCAUAACGUCGCAAGACCAAAGAGGGGGACCUUCGGGCCUCUUGCCAUCAGAUGUGCCCAGAUGGGAUUAGCUAGUAGGUGGGGUAACGGCUCACCUAGGCGACGAUCCCUAGCUGGUCUGAGAGGAUGACCAGCCACACUGGAACUGAGACACGGUCCAGACUCCUACGGGAGGCAGCAGUGGGGAAUAUUGCACAAUGGGCGCAAGCCUGAUGCAGCCAUGCCGCGUGUAUGAAGAAGGCCUUCGGGUUGUAAAGUACUUUCAGCGGGGAGGAAGGCGAUGUGGUUAAUAACCGCGUCGAUUGACGUUACCCGCAGAAGAAGCACCGGCUAACUCCGUGCCAGCAGCCGCGGUAAUACGGAGGGUGCAAGCGUUAAUCGGAAUUACUGGGCGUAAAGCGCACGCAGGCGGUCUGUCAAGUCGGAUGUGAAAUCCCCGGGCUCAACCUGGGAACUGCAUCCGAAACUGGCAGGCUUGAGUCUCGUAGAGGGGGGUAGAAUUCCAGGUGUAGCGGUGAAAUGCGUAGAGAUCUGGAGGAAUACCGGUGGCGAAGGCGGCCCCCUGGACGAAGACUGACGCUCAGGUGCGAAAGCGUGGGGAGCAAACAGGAUUAGAUACCCUGGUAGUCCACGCCGUAAACGAUGUCGACUUGGAGGUUGUGCCCUUGAGGCGUGGCUUCCGGAGCUAACGCGUUAAGUCGACCGCCUGGGGAGUACGGCCGCAAGGUUAAAACUCAAAUGAAUUGACGGGGGCCCGCACAAGCGGUGGAGCAUGUGGUUUAAUUCGAUGCAACGCGAAGAACCUUACCUGGUCUUGACAUCCACAGAACUUUCCAGAGAUGGAUUGGUGCCUUCGGGAACUGUGAGACAGGUGCUGCAUGGCUGUCGUCAGCUCGUGUUGUGAAAUGUUGGGUUAAGUCCCGCAACGAGCGCAACCCUUAUCCUUUGUUGCCAGCGGUCCGGCCGGGAACUCAAAGGAGACUGCCAGUGAUAAACUGGAGGAAGGUGGGGAUGACGUCAAGUCAUCAUGGCCCUUACGACCAGGGCUACACACGUGCUACAAUGGCGCAUACAAAGAGAAGCAAACUCGCGAGAGCCAGCGGACCUCAUAAAGUGCGUCGUAGUCCGGAUUGGAGUCUGCAACUCGACUCCAUGAAGUCGGAAUCGCUAGUAAUCGUGAAUCAGAAUGUCACGGUGAAUACGUUCCCGGGCCUUGUACACACCGCCCGUCACACCAUGGGAGUGGGUUGCAAAAGAAGUAGGUAGCUUAACCUUCGGGAGGGCGCUUACCACUUUGUGAUUCAUGACUGGGGUGAAGUCGUAACAAGGUAACCGUAGGGGAACCUGCGGUUGGAUCACCUCCUUA